rnacentral:rRNA from 1 species
UACGAAGGGUGCAAGCGUUACUCGGAAUUACUGGGCGUAAAGCGUGCGUAGGUGGUUUGUUAAGUCUGUUGUGAAAGCCCCGGGCUCAACCUGGGAAUGGCAAUGGAUACUGGCAGGCUAGAGUGCGGUAGAGGGUAGUGGAAUUCCCGGUGUAGCGGUGAAAUGCGUAGAGAUCGGGAGGAACACCAGUGGCGAAGGCGGCGAUCUGGGAAGAUACUGACGCUGAGGUGCGAAAGCGUGGGGAGCAAACAGG